rnacentral:rRNA from 1 species
UACGUAGGGGGCAAGCGUUGUCCGGAAUCAUUGGGCGUAAAGCGCGCGUAGGCGGCCCGGUAAGUCCGCUCUGAAAGUCCAGGGCUCAACCCUGGAAAGCGGGUGGAUACUGCCGUGCUUGAGGACUGGAGAGGAGACUGGAAUUUACGGUGUAGCGGUGAAAUGCGUAGAUAUCGUAAGGAAGACCAGUGGCGAAGGCGGGUCUCUGGACAGUUCCUGACGCUGAGGCACGAAGGUCAGGGGAGCAAACGGG